rnacentral:lncRNA from 1 species
CUUGUAGCUGCGUAUGUUCUAUUGAAGAAGCUGAUCAAACCACCUUGGCUUGGAGAAAGAGAUAAGCCAAUUGGAUUCAACAAUGGGAGAGUGAUCCAAUUGUACUCUUUUUCUCUAGUUGAGUUUUGUCCUAAUGGGUUUUCUCAACAAAGUUUUUAAUGAGGCAAUUGUAUCACUCCAUCAUGGCCCAUUUGUUGAAUCAGAAGCCCAAGG